GAGUUUAUUGCCUUAGGUCUUAGUAUUGCAAAUACUAAUGUGAAUAAUUUUAUUCUAGGCUCU
rnacentral:tRNA from 1 species